AUAUAUUAUCAACCUCAGCUUGUUGAGUGUUGGAUAGUGGGGGGUUGCUGGUCUUAUUUUUUGAGAUCAGCUCCCCUAAAAUGUAUUAGCAGAACAAUAUGUUGACCCGUUCAUUGGUGUGAUAACCUAUCUACACUAUUAACGUGGUGAGGCAGGUUCAGCUUCUAACUUGUCUUUUGACUUUUAUUAAUGA
rnacentral:misc_RNA from 1 species